GAUGAACGCUAGCGAUAGGCCUUACACAUGCAAGUCGAGGGGCAGCACAUAAAUUGUAGCAAUACGAUUUUGGUGGCGACCGGCGCACGGGUGAGUAACGCGUAUGCAACCUACCUACUACUUUGGCAUAGCUCGUUGAAAGACGAAUUAAUACCUCAUAAAACAGGGGCUCCGCAUGGAGAUAUUUGUUAAAAGAUUUAUCGGUAGUAGAUGGGCAUGCGUUCCAUUAGUUAGUUGGCGAGGUAACGGCUCACCAAGACAACGAUGGAUAGGGAACUGAGAGGUUUAUCCCCCACACUGGAACUGAGACACGGUCCAGACUCCUACGGGAGGCAGCAGUGAGGAAUAUUGGUCAAUGGAGGC
rnacentral:rRNA from 1 species